rnacentral:piRNA from 1 species
CACCGACAGAAAUCUGUAUGUGUGUGUGU